rnacentral:rRNA from 1 species
AGUAAGGAAUAUUGGACAAUGGUGGCAACACUGAUCCAGCCAUGCCGCGUGCAGGAUGACUGCCCUAUGGGUUGUAAACUGCUUUUGUACGGGAAAAAACCUCUUUACGUGUAAAGAGCUGAUUGUACUGUAAGAAUAAGGAUCGGCUAACUCCGUGCCAGCAGCCGCGGUAAUACGGAGGAUCCAAGCGUUAUCCGGAUUCAUUGGGUUUAAAGGGUGCGUAGGCGGAAUGAUAAGUCAGUGGUGAAAUCCUGCAGCUUAACUGUAGAAUUGCCAUUGAUACUGUCAAUCUUGAGUACAUUUGAUGUUGGCGGAAUGUGUCAUGUAGCGGUGAAAUGCUUAGAUAUGACACAGAACACCGAUUGCGAAGGCAGCUGACAAAACUGUAACUGACGCUGAGGCACGAAAGCGUGGGUAUCAAA